rnacentral:sRNA from 1 species
UUGAAAUGCCUGAGGAUUGAAAUCUUUCUAUCCUCGGAUCAGGUAUGGCAAUGCAAGCUGCUCUUACAUUGCCCUGCUAAUGUGCCUAAACCCUGACUUGGAGGGGCCACAGCUAGUGACAAAACCAUUGGUCUCUCUGUUGAGACUCCCAGAGAGAUUUCA